rnacentral:rRNA from 1 species
CCUACGGGUUGCAGCAGUAGGGAAUCUUCCGCAAUGGACGAAAGUCUGACGGAGCAACGCCGCGUGAGCGAUGAAGGCCUUCGGGUCGUAAAGCUCUGUUGUUAGGGAAGAACAAGUACCGGAGUAACUGCCGGUACCUUGACGGUACCUAACCAGAAAGCCACGGCUAACUACGUGCCAGCAGCCGCGGUAAUACGUAGGUGGCAAGCGUUGUCCGGAAUUAUUGGGCGCAAAGCGCGCGCAGGCGGUCCUUUAAGUCUGAUGUGAAAGCCCACGGCUCAACCGUGGAGGGUCAUUGGAAACUGGGGGACUUGAGUGCAGAAGAGGAGAGUGGAAUUCCACGUGUAGCGGUGAAAUGCGUAGAGAUGUGGAGGAACACCAGUGGCGAAGGCGACUCUCUGGUCUGUAACUGACGCUGAGGCGCGAAAGCGUGGGGAGCGAACAGGAUUAGAUACCCCGGUAGUC